AGAGAUGUAGUUCAGUGGCAGAGCAUUUGUCUAGUGGGCAUGAACCCCUGGGUUCAAUCCCCAGUAUCACUA
rnacentral:tRNA from 1 species